rnacentral:lncRNA from 1 species
UUGGGUGCGGCUGUGCCCGCAGCAUAAUUUUGGCACACGGGGGAGCCUCGUAAAGUGUCGCGCCAUUCCGAGUCCGGCGGACGAAGUUGGCCAUUCCCACCCCCCAAGGCUAUAGCCCACCCGUUUUUGUGGGUUUUUUCCGCUGGACGAACUUGACGCCCCGGCCUUCGGGCCAUUAUUUUUGGGCGCGGCUGUGCCCACGGCCUAUUUUUGGCACACGGAGGUGCCUCGCAAAGUCUGGCGCCAUUCCGAGUCCGGCGGACAAAGUUGGCCAGCCCCACCCCCCAAGGCUAUAGCCCACCCGUUUUUGUGGCCUUUUUCCGCUGGAUGAACUUGGCGCCCCGGCCUUCGGGCGGUUAUUUUUAGGCGCGGCUUUGCCCGCGGCCUAUUUUUGGCACACGGAGGUGCCUCGCUAAGUCUCGCGCCAUUCCGAGUCUGGCGGUAGAAGUUGUCCGGCCCCACCCCCCAAGGCUAUAGCCCACCCGUUUUUGUGGGCUUUUUCCGCUGGACGAACAUGGCGCCCAGGUCUUCGGGCGGUUAUUUUUCGGCGCGGCUGUGCGCGCGGCCUAUUUUUAGAACACGGAGGCUCCUCACAAAGUCUGGCGCCAUUCCGAGUCCGGCGGACAAAGUUGGCCAGCCCCACCCCCAAGGCUAUAGCCCACCCGUUUUUGUGGGCUUUUUCCGCUGGACGAACUUGGCGCCCCGGCCUUCGGGCGGUUAUUUUUGGGCAAGGCCGUGCCCACAGCCUAUUUUUGGCACACGGAGGCACCUCCUAAAGUCUCGUGCCAUUCCGAGUCCGGCGGACGAAGUCGGCCAGCCCCACCCCACAAGGCUAUAGCCCACCGUUUUUAUGGGCUUUUUCCGCUUGACGAACUUGGCGCCCCGGCCUUCGAGCGGUUAUUUUUGGGCGCGGCUGUGCCCGCGGCCUAUUUUUGGCACACGGAGGCGCCUCGUAAAGACCCGCGCCAUUCCGAGUCUGGCGGACGAAGUUGGCCAGCCCCACCCCCCAAGGCUAUAGCCCACCCGUUUUUGUGGCCUUUUUCCGCUGGACGAAGUAGGCGCCCCGGCCUUCGGGCGGUUAUUUUUUGGCGCGGCUGUGCCCGCGGCCUAUUUUUGGUACAUGGAGGCGCAUAGCAAUGUCUCGCGCCAUUCCGAGUCCGGCGGACGAAGUUGGCCAACCCCACCCCCCAAGGCUAUAGCCCACCCGUUUUUGUGGCCUUUUUCCGCUGGACGAACUUGG